GUGGUGUAAUGGUUAGCGUAUCGGACUAUGACCUGGGAGACCAGGGUUCGAAUCCCCGCUCA
rnacentral:tRNA from 1 species